AAAACUGGAGAUACCGGCCAGCCCUCACAUCGCCACUCCGAGCCGCGGGGCCGCCAGCACCCGGAACGAGCGGCCAAGGCUGGGUCGGCCUGACGGCGACGCCGGAGGCAAAGCCGCAGCUCGCCGGAGCCGGCUCAGGACCAGCCGACCCUGGCAAAGUGGACCAAGGGCACGGCAGCCCGGCGACGGCGCCCGGGGCAGCGGUGCAGCCAGCCCGCGCGGUGGGGCGAGUCACGGCCGACGAGGAGCGCCCGGGGUGGGGACGUACGGGGCGGGGGUGCCGAGGGCCUGAGGCGACCCCGCCCUGGACCAGCUCAGCUCGACGGUGGUGUCACGUGGGCCUCCUCCCGACGGCGAACUGGGGAGGGGGCGAGGCUGGCCGUGGCGCCGCCGUAUAUAAAGCGUGUGCUCGGCGGUUCAAGGCAGUUCAGUUCGAGUUCCAGUCUCGAGUCGUCUCCAGUCACCACUACCAGAGAGGGAGUCGUCUCCAGUGGGGAGGCUCCAGUCGGAGACUCCAGCAGGGAGUCUACAGUUCCAGCUCCAGUCUCCGGUCACCAGACUCCAGGCGCAGUCUCCGGUCAUCUCGACCGGUCGGCCGAGACCCCGACGGCCGCUGGGCGCUCGCAGUGAUUGUGUCUGGCGUGCACAGUGUCAGGGACAGUGCUUGAGAUAACGCAGAUCUACCUCAUUCCCUCCCCCGUGGCGACAAUCAUUUGUUCUUCAUAUUGGUGGAAGGGAUGUGGAAAACUGGAGAUACCGGCCAGCCCUCACAUCGCCACUCCGAGCCGCGGGGCCGCCAGCACCCGGAACGAGCGGCCAAGGCUGGGUCGGCCUGACGGCGACGCCGGAGGCAAAGCCGCAGCUCGCCGGAGCCGGCUCAGGACCAGCCGACCCUGGCAAAGUGGACCAAGGGCACGGCAGCCCGGCGACGGCGCCCGGGGCAGCGGUGCAGCCAGCCCGCGCGGUGGGGCGAGUCACGGCCGACGAGGAGCGCCCGGGGUGGGGACGUACGGGGCGGGGGUGCCGAGGGCCUGAGGCGACCCCGCCCUGGACCAGCUCAGCUCGACGGUGGUGUCACGUGGGCCUCCUCCCGACGGCGAACUGGGGAGGGGGCGAGGCUGGCCGUGGCGCCGCCGUAUAUAAAGCGUGUGCUCGGCGGUUCAAGGCAGUUCAGUUCGAGUUCCAGUCUCGAGUCGUCUCCAGUCACCACUACCAGAGAGGGAGUCGUCUCCAGUGGGGAGGCUCCAGUCGGAGACUCCAGCAGGGAGUCUACAGUUCCAGCUCCAGUCUCCGGUCACCAGACUCCAGGCGCAGUCUCCGGUCAUCUCGACCGGUCGGCCGAGACCCCGACGGCCGCUGGGCGCUCGCAGUGAUUGUGUCUGGCGUGCACAGUGUCAGGGACAGUGCUUGAGAUGUAGGUAAGUACACGGGCUCAACCAGCCGCGCUGGCUAUGGCGCGCUGGUUGGGAUUAGAGGAGAGAAGUUGAGAGGAAAGUAUGAGAUCAGUAGUGAGUGGCUGUGCUUUCCCCAUCCUUAAUAAUAACACCUCUAUGUGCAAACGCUGUCUGUGGGGCGGUGCUGAGCGGGGGCUGAGGCGAUGGAGAGUCGGACUAGCGCUGGAAAGUAGACGAAUUGCAGAGCCACACAUCCAAACAAGUAGGUAG